AUUUUUCUCUCUCAUGGAUACCCUUAACUAACAAAAACUUCCAUUUCAUUUCACCAACCAACCGAUUGCACCCUUUUUUCCACCAACAAAUCCAACCUUAUCUCAAAACAUUUAAAAAACAUCAACACCGUACCGUUACUGUUCAUCGUCUCUCUCGUCCAUCAAUUUUUUUCUUUUUUCCAAAAUUCUCUAAAGUCUUCUACACAUGUCUAACCCAUUGCAUGUCCCUAUCUUCAUCUCAAGAUCCAUUAGCUGACCACACUAACGCUAAAAGAAGAUAACAAGCAACAUUUGGGAGAUCUAUAAAUUCGAACCAGAGUAUAAAGGGAAGAAGAGCUAAGAGCUGAGAAAGCAAGCAAAUCCCAAAACCAAUUCGAAGUAUAGGAAUCCCUUCUUGGCAAAUCGGUGAAUAUUAGAUUGGAGGUGUGUACUUAAAUUAAACAUUCAAUUAAGUAUGUUUGAUCUUCUAAGUAACUUGCUUAAAAUAAAUAAGGACAUUGUGUUAGUAUCUUAUUUCUUCUAUAUUCUCUUAUUUCAUAAGGACUAGAACUAUUGUAUGAGUUCUAUAAAUGAAUUUUGUUUAUAAGACUUUGAAAUAAAGUUGGACUUUGAGUGUGUUUAACUA